AAUUUGGAGAGUUUGAUCCUGGCUCAGGACGAACGCUGGCGGCGUGCCUAAUACAUGCAAGUCGAGCGGACUUGAUGAAGUGCUUGCACUUCUGAUGGUUAGCGGCGGACGGGUGAGUAACAC
rnacentral:rRNA from 1 species